rnacentral:rRNA from 1 species
AAUGAACGCUGGCGGCAUGCCUAACACAUGCAAGUCGAACGAAGGCUUCGGCCUUAGUGGCGCACGGGUGCGUAACGCGUGGGAAUCUGCCCUUGGGUUCGGAAUAACUCGGAGAAAUCCGUGCUAAUACCGGAUGAUGACGUAAGUCCAAAGAUUUAUCGCCCAAGGAUGAGCCCGCGUAGGAUUAGCUAGUUGGUGGGGUAAAGGCCCACCAAGGCGACGAUCCUUAGCUGGUCUGAGAGGAUGAUCAGCCACACUGGGACUGAGACACGGCCCAGACUCCUACGGGAGGCAGCAGUGGGGAAUAUUGGACAAUGGGCGAAAGCCUGAUCCAGCAACGCCGCGUGAGUGACGAAGGCCUUAGGGUUGUAAAGCUCUUUUACCCGGGAUGAUAAUGACAGUACCGGGAGAAUAAGCUCCGGCUAACUUCGUGCCAGCAGCCGCAGUAACAC